GAUGAACGCUGGCGGCAUGCCUAAUACAUGCAAGUCGAAACGAGAGGAAGGAAAGCUUGCUUUCCUGAAUCUAGUGGCGAACGGGUGAGUAACACGUAGGUAACCUGCCCAUGUGCCCGGGAUAACUUCUGGAAACGGAUGCUAAAACCGGAUAGGUAGCAGACAAGCAUUUGACUGCUAUUAAAGUGCCUUGGCCAUGAACAUGGAUGGACCUGCGGUGCAUUAGCUAGUUGGUAAGGUAACGGCUUACCAAGGCGACGAUCAGUAGCCGACCUGAGAGGGUGAUCGGCCACAUUGGAACUGAGACACGGU
rnacentral:rRNA from 1 species